rnacentral:sRNA from 1 species
GUCAGCUUGUUGGCAAAGCUGUUGUCGUCGGACAGAUCGCUUUCGAGCACCUUCCGCAUGAAGGCGACCGACUCGAUCA